UACGGAGGGUCAAGCGUUAUCCGGAUUCACUGGGUUUAAAGGGUGCGUAGGCGGGCAGGUAAGUCCGUGGUGAAAUCUCUGAGCUUAACUCAGAAACUGCCAUGGAUACUAUUUGUCUUGAAUGUUGUGGAGGUAAGCGGAAUAUGUCAUGUAGCGGUGAAAUGCUUAGAUAUGACAUAGAACACCAAUUGCGAAGGCAGCUUACUACACAAAUAUUGACGCUGAGGCACGAAAGCGUGGGGAUCAAACAGG
rnacentral:rRNA from 1 species